AAGCAGCUCGUAGGCGGUUUGUCAACGUCGAUUGUGAAUCCACGCAGCUCAACUGCUGGCUUGCAUUCGAUACUGGCAGACUUGAGUACUGUAGAGGAGACUGGAAUUCCUGGUGUAGCGGUGAAAUGCGCAGAUAUCAGGAGGAACACCGGUGGCGAAGGCGGGUCUCUGGACAGUAACUGACGCUGAGGAACGAAAGCGUGGGUAGCGAACAGGAUUAGAUACCCUGGUAGUCCACGCCGUAAACGAUGUCGCGCUUAGGUGUGGGUUCCUUCCACGGAAUCCUUGCCGAACUAAACGCAUUAAUCGCCCCCCCGGGGAAGUACGGCCCCAGGGCUAAAACUCAAAGGAAUUGACGGGGGCCGCCACAACCGGGGAACCAGGUGGUUUAUUUCAAUGCACCCCAAAAAACCUUACCUGGCUUGGACUUAUACCAAAUAGCUGCAGAGAUGUGGCCGCCCUUGGGAACUGUAUACCAGUGGCGCAUGGGUGGUCUCCACUCCUGUCGUGAGAUGUUUGGGUUAAUUCCGCAACCAGCGCAAACCCUAACUUAUGUUUUGCCACACGUUAUGGUGGGGACUCCUAAGAGACUGCCGGGGGACACUCGGAAGAAAGUGGGGGAAGACGUCAAGUCCUCAUGCCCCCUAUGUGCAGGGGGUUACACAUGCUACACUGGCCAGUACACAGGGCUGCGCGACCCUGAGGUGCAGCGAAACCCUUAAAACUGCGCUCGUAUUCCGAUAUGGGGAUCUCUCAACUCCACCUCCUGGAAGUCCGAGAUUCGUAGUUAAUCGCGAGAUAUCACAACGCUGCGGUGAAUACGUUCCCGGGCCUUGUACACACCGCCCGUCACAUCAUGAAAGUC
rnacentral:rRNA from 1 species